rnacentral:rRNA from 1 species
CAUGUCUAGUAUAAGCAUCUAUACGGUGAAACUGCGAAUGGCUCAUUAAAUCAGUUAUCGUUUAUUUGAUAGUACCUUACUACAUGGAUAACCGUGGUAAUUCUAGAGCUAAUACAUGCUAAAAACCCCGACUUCGGAAGGGGUGUAUUUAUUAGAUAAAAAACCAAUGCCCUUCGGGGCUCCUUGGUGAUUCAUAAUAACUUAACGAAUCGCAUGGCCUUGCGCCGGCGAUGGUUCAUUCAAAUUUCUGCCCUAUCAACUUUCGAUGGUAGGAUAGUGGCCUACCAUGGUUUCAACGGGUAACGGGGAAUUAGGGUUCUAUUCCGGAGAGGGAGCCUGAGAAACGGCUACCACAUCCAAGGAAGGCAGCAGGCGCGCAAAUUACCCAAUCCCGACACGGGGAGGUAGUGACAAUAAAUACUGAUACAGGGCUCUUUUGGGUCUUGUAAUUGGAAUGAGUACAAUUUAAAUCCCUUAACGAGGAACAAUUGGAGGGCAAGUCUGGUGCCAGCAGCCGCGGUAAUUCCAGCUCCAAUAGCGUAUAUUAAAGUUGUUGCAGUUAAAAAGCUCGUAGUUGAACCUUGGGCCUGGCUGGCCGGUCCGCCUCACCGCGUGCACUGGUCCGGCCGGGCCUUUCCUCCUGGGGAGCCGCAUGCCCUUCACUGGGUGUGUCGGGGAACCAGGACUUUUACUUUGAAAAAAUUAGAGUGUUCAAAGCAGGCCUAUGCUCGAAUACAUUAGCAUGGAAUAAUAGAAUAGGACGUGUGGUUCUAUUUUGUUGGUUUCUAGGACCGCCGUAAUGAUUAAUAGGGAUAGUCGGGGGCAUCAGUAUUCAAUUGUCAGAGGUGAAAUUCUUGGAUUUAUUGAAGACUAACUACUGCGAAAGCAUUUGCCAAGGAUGUUUUCAUUAAUCAGUGAACGAAAGUUAGGGGAUCGAAGACGAUCAGAUACCGUCGUAGUCUUAACCAUAAACUAUGCCGACUAGGGAUCG